rnacentral:sRNA from 1 species
AGGCUGUGGGCUAGCGUGAUGGCGCCGGUGCUGGAGAAGGCGCGGCGCACGCGGGCGCUGCUGCAGCCCGGGGACUUCCUCAAAGGCUUCAAGAUGGUACGGGCGGGGCCGGGCGCAGGCGGGGGCACUGAGGCAGGGCUGGGGCGCCGAAAAGGCUCCACGGCCCGAUCCGGUCUGCCCAGCAUCCCCAACCCCGCCCCGGGCCCGUAACCGCACUUGACCCCUUGUGGCCAAGGGUGAGGAAUUACGAGGCGGUCGCCCGGGUUUGAGCCUCCACCUGACCAUCUACCCCUGCUCCCUGGCCGCGCGGGUGGUCACUUUGGCUGAGGCUCAGUUUCCUCAUCUGGAAACAGGGAUCAUAAGCUUGCUGCCCCCUUGGGGUGGUCGCCCAAGUGCAGUAAGGAAGCGCUUGCGCAGCGCCUGGCGCGGGCCGGCCUGCAGGGAGCGCGCGGUAACCGGCGCCGUGGUUGUUCUGCCCCGGGCCAGUUCGGCUCGCUCUUCAAGCCCUACAUCCGCUACUGCAUGGAGGAGGAGGGCUGCAUGGAGUACAUGCGCGGCCUGCUGCGCGACAACGACCUCUUCCGGGCCUACGUCACGUGGGCCGAGAAGCACCCACAGUGCCAGAGGCUGAAGCUGAGCGACAUGCUGGCCAAACCCCACCAGCGGCUCACUAAGUACCCGCUGCUGCUCAAGUCGGUGCUGAGGAAGACCGAGGAGCCGCGCGCCAAGGAGGCCGUCGUCGCCAUGAUCGGCUCCGUGGAGCGCUUCAUCCACCACGUGAACGCGUGCAUGCGGCAGCGGCAGGAGCGGCAGCGGCUGGCGGCCGUAGUGAGCCGCAUCGACGCCUACGAGGUGGUGGAAAGCAGCAGCGACGAAGUGGACAAGCUCCUGAAGGAAUUUCUGCACCUGGACUUGACAGCGCCCAUCCCCGGCGCCUCCCCGGAGGAGACGCGGCAGCUGCUGCUGGAGGGGAGCCUGAGGAUGAAGGAGGGGAAGGACAGCAAGAUGGAUGUGUACUGCUUUCUCUUCACGGAUCUGCUGUUGGUGACCAAGGCAGUGAAGAAGGCAGAGAGGACCAGGGUCAUCAGGCCACCCCUGCUGGUGGACAAGAUUGUGUGCCGGGAGCUACGGGACCCUGGGUCCUUCCUCCUUAUCUACCUGAAUGAGUUUCACAGUGCUAUAGGGGCCUACACGUUCCAGGCCAGCGGCCAGGCCUUGUGCCGUGGCUGGGUGGACACCAUUUACAAUGCCCAGAACCAGCUGCAACAGCUGCGCGCACAGGAGCCCCCAGGAAGCCAGCAGACCCUGCAGAGCCUGGAAGAGGAGGAGGAUGAGCAGGAGGAGGAGGAGGAGGAGGAAGGCGAGGACAGUGGCACUUCAGCUGCCAGCUCCCCUACCAUCAUGCGGAAAAGCAGUGGCAGCCCCGACUCUCAGCACUGUGCCUCAGAUGGCUCCACGGAGACCCUGGCCAUGGUUGUGGUAGAGUCUGGGGACACGCUGUCCUCCCCCGAGUUCGACGGUGGUCCUUUCAGCUCCCAGUCUGAUGAGACCUCUCUCAGCACCACUGCCUCAUCUGCCAUGCCCACCAGUGAGCUGCUGCCCCUGGGUCCGGUGGACGGCCGCUCCUGCUCCAUGGACUCUGCCUACGGCACCCUCUCCCCAACCUCCUUACAAGACUUUGUGGCCCCAGGCCCUGUGGCAGAGCUAGUGCCUCGGGCCCCAGAGUCCCCACGAGCUCCUUCCCCUCCACCCUCGCCCCGUCUCCGCCGCCGCACCCCUGUCCAGCUGUUGACCUGCCCGCCCCACCUGCUCAAGUCUAAGUCCGAGGCCAGCCUCCUCCAGCUGCUGGCAGGGGCUGGCACCCAUGGGACACCCUCUGCCCCCAGCCGCAGCCUGUCAGAGCUCUGCCUGGCUGUUCCAGCCCCAGGUAUUAGGACUCAGGGCUCCCCUCAGGAAGCUGGGCCCAGCUGGGAUUGCCGAGGGGCCCCUAGCUCUGGCAGUGGUCCUGAGCUAGUCAGCUGCCUGGCCAGGGAACCUGCAGGCUCCCACAGGAAGAGGUGUGGAGACCUGCCCUCGGGGGCCUCUCCCAGGGUCCAGCCUGAGCCCCCACCAGGGGUCUCUGCCCAGCACAGGAAGCUGACCCUGGCCCAGCUCUACCGAAUCAGGACCACCCUGCUGCUUAACUCCACGCUCACUGCCUCGGAGGUCUGAGCAGAGGGAGGCCCCCAAGAGUGCCAUUGACCAAGAGACAGCAGACAGCCUGCCUCCUGGGGCGUGCCGGCACCUGCUUCAGCUGCUGCCUCCUGUGUGCAUGAGCCGGAUGCUGGGCAGGAUCCCUGCCUACGCCCGGGCCCGAUUUGCGCUUUGCCAGACUGGAUGGAGUGGAGGAGGCCCAGGCCACAGUACCACCCCACCUGCCCAGGCAGCCCCUCGUCACCUACUCCCCGAAGUUACCAGCUCAGCUCGAGUCUUCAGGGCUGGGCUCCCAGGCUGCCCAUCCCACUUCUACCCUCACUGGCCUCCAGUGGGAUUUGCUCCUGCCCUGCCCCCACCUUCCCAGUCCCACAGGCCACCCCUGGCUUGGGCUGGGUUCUGUAAAGUUACGUAUUUAUUGAGCUUUUGGUUCUUUUAUAAAGACUUGUCUAGACUCCA